GACAGAGGGGGCAAGCGUUGCUCGGAAUCACUGGGCGUAAAGGGCGCGUAGGCGGGAUGGCAAGUCAGUCGUGAAAUCUCUCGGCUCAACCGAGAAACGUCGGCUGAUACUGCCGUUCUUGAGGGAUGCAGAGGAGACUGGAAUUCCCGGUGUAGCGGUGAAAUGUGUAGAGAUGUGGAGGAACACCGAUGGCGAAGGCAGCCUCCUGGGCCAACACUGACGCUCAUGCACGAAAGCGUGGGGAGCAAACAGG
rnacentral:rRNA from 1 species